rnacentral:rRNA from 1 species
GACGAACGCUGGCGGCGUGCCUAAUACAUGCAAGUCGAGCGCAGGAAGCCGUCUGAACCCUUCGGGGGGACGACGGUGGAAUGAGCGGCGGACGGGUGAGUAACACGUAAAGAACCUGCCCAUAGGUCUGGGAUAACCACGAGAAAUCGGGGCUAAUACCGGAUGUGUCAUCGGACCGCAUGGUCCGCUGAUGAAAGGCGCUCCGGCGUCGCCCGUGGAUGGCUUUGCGGUGCAUUAGCUAGUUGGUGGGGUAACGGCCCACCAAGGCGACGAUGCAUAGCCGACCUGCGAGGGUGAUCGGCCACACUGGGACUGAGACACGGCCCAGACUCCUACGGGAGGCAGCAGUAGGGAAUCUUCCACAAUGGACGAAAGUCUGAUGGAGCAACGCCGCGUGAACGAUGAAGGCUUUCGGGUCGUAAAGUUCUGUUGUAAGGGAAGAACAAGUGCCGCAGGCAAUGGCGGCACCUUGACGGUACCUUGCGAGAAAGCCACGGCUAACUACGUGCCAGCCGCCGCCGUAA